UACGGAGGGUGCAAGCGUUAAUCGGAAUUACUGGGCGUAAAGCGCGCGUAGGCGGUUUUUUAAGUCGGAUGUGAAAGCCCCGGGCUCAACCUGGGAACUGCAUCCGAUACUGGAAGACUAGAAUGCGGGAGAGGGAGGUAGAAUUCCAUGUGUAGCAGUGAAAUGCGUAGGUAUAUGGAGGAAUACCAGUGGCGAAGGCGGCCUCCUGGCUCGACAUUGACGCUGAGGUGCGAAAGCGUGGGGAGCAAACGGG
rnacentral:rRNA from 1 species